GAAGGGACCUAGCGUAGUUCGGAAUUACUGGGCUUAAAGAGUUCGUAGGUGGUUAAAAAAGUUGAUGGUGAAAUCCCAGAGCUUAACUCUGGAACUGCCAUCAAAACUUUUUAGCUAGAGUAUGAUAGAGGAAAGCAGAAUUUCUAGUGUAGAGGUGAAAUUCGUAGAUAUUAGAAAGAAUACCAAUUGCGAAGGCAGCUUUCUGGAUCAUUACUGACGCUGAGGAACGAAAGCAUGGGUAGCGAAGAGGAUUAGAUACCCUCGUAGUCCAUGCCGUAAACGAUGUGUGUUAGACGUUGGAAAUUUAUUUUCAGUGUCGCAGUGAAAACAAUAAACACACCGCCUGGGGAGUACGACCGCAAGGUUAAAACUCAAAUGAAUUGACGGGGACCCGCACAAGUAGUGGAGCAUGUGGUUUAAUUCGAAGAUACGCGCAGAACCUUACCAACACUUGACAUGUUCGUCGCGACUCUAAGAGAUUAGAGUUUUCGGUUCGGCCGGACGAAACACAGGUGCUGCAUGGCUGUCGUCAGCUCGUGUCGUGGGAUGUUGGGUUAAGUCCCGCAACGAGCGCAACCCUUACUUUUAGUUGCCAUCAUUUAGUUGGGCACUCUGAAAGAACUGCCAGUGAUAAGCUGGAGGAAGGUGGGGAUGACGUCAAGUCCUCAUGGCCCUUAUGUGUUGGGCUACACACGUGCUACAAUGGUAUCUACAACAGGAAGCAAAACAGCGAUGUUAAGCAAAUCCCGAAAAGAUACCUCAGUUCGGAUUGCACUCUGCAACUCGAGUGCAUGAAGCUGGAAUUACUAGUAAUCGUGGAUCAGCGUGCCACGGUGAAUACGUUCCCGGGUCUU
rnacentral:rRNA from 1 species